rnacentral:lncRNA from 1 species
CCGCCGCUGCACUGCAGCCUCCUUCCUCACCCACGCCUACAGACGCCCGUGCAAUCGAGAGCUAAGCUAAUCUACACAGCACAACUUGCUGACCUCACCCAUUGCUAUUGCUGUUGCUGCAGCAACAACAAUACAGCUUCCUUAUUGAUUUGCAGCAACAGCCGUCGCUGAAGCAGAAAGUUGUGGACGCGGCUCUUCCCAGCAGCGAGAAACUCUUCCCAGCAGGAGGCAGCUAUUCUUGUCACACGCUCGCAGGAGGCAGCGACAGCCGUCGUUGAAGCAGAAAGUUGUGGACGCGGCUCUUCCCACAUCACUGGGAACGAGGUGUACUCCGUCGUCAUUGCCACCUUCUUGGCAAGGCAGCUCACCUAGUGGACAGCACCAGAAAUCUGCAUCCUGCUCAUCGUUGCUAUACAAAGUGCUCCACCUUCUUGGCAAGGCAGCUCACCUGGUGGACAGCACCAGAAAUCUGCAUCCUACUCAUCGUUGCUACACAAAGUGCUGCUC